GGACUCCCAUCCUACUCAUGUAGCGAUCUGAUAGGUGUUCAUCACUUGAGAGCUCCCUCCCUCGAAGUACCUGAAGGUCAAUUUUGAUGGCAGUACCAAAGAUAGAUAGGGUGGUGUGGACUUUGUGAUCCAUAGACCUAACUCCAAACUGAUAGUUACUAGGAGAAUCCAUCUCUUCGCACCUAUGGUACCUAAGGUAGAGCUACAUACUGCUUAGGCUA
rnacentral:lncRNA from 1 species